rnacentral:lncRNA from 1 species
AUAUCCUAACAACCUUGUCAUCUGACUCUGACAUUGAUGUAAAAUCAUGGUUCUCGAAAUUCCUAUCCUGAAUUACAUUCUUCUUUUCUUUAAAGUCUAAGCAAAUUAACGUACACAUGUAUUCACAAAACAUUAAAUAAUGAAAAUCUUUGAUGCUGCUGUAUGUUUAUUCAAUCAUAGCAGCAUUGUCUCAAUACAUCAUAACACACUGAAACUCAUUUUUAAAGCCAAUAAGAGGAGUUCUUCCCGACAUUACUGAUUAUAACUGCUUCCUUCUUAUGACACCUAUUGAAAACAUUGAUAACAUUACAAAAGCAAAUACACAUACUUUUAAAAUAGAUAAUAACGAUGUUAAAGGUGAAAUAAACAUGAUUAUUUGUUAUUAAAUUUCUAUACAUCUUUGUCAAUAUCUUUUUAAACAGGUUUUCCUUCUUCCUGGUUUAAAUGUUAUGACUCUCCCAAU